rnacentral:rRNA from 1 species
UACGUAGGGUGCAAGCGUUACUCGGAAUCACUGGGCGUAAAGGGUGCGUAGGCGGGUUUUUAAGUCAGGGGUGAAAUCCUGGAGCUCAACUCCAGAACUGCCUUUGAUACUGAAGAUCUUGAGUCCGGGAGAGGUGAGUGGAACUGCGAGUGUAGAGGUGAAAUUCGUAGAUAUUCGCAAGAACACCAGUGGCGAAGGCGGCUCACUGGCCCGGUACUGACGCUGAGGCACGAAAGCGUGGGGAGCAAACAGG